rnacentral:rRNA from 1 species
AAAUUGAAGAGUUUGAUCAUGGCUCAGAUUGAACGCUGGCGGCAGGCCUAACACAUGCAAGUCGAACGGUAACAGGAAACAGCUUGCUGAUUUGCUGACGAGUGGCGGACGGGUGAGUAAUGUCUGGGAAACUGCCUGAUGGAGGGGGAUAACUACUGGAAACGGUAGCUAAUACCGCAUAACGUCGCAAGACCAAAGAGGGGGACCUUCGGGCCUC